AACGUAGGAGACAAACGUUAUCCGGAGUUACUGGGCGUAAAGGGCGUGUAGGUGGUUUCGUAAGUCUGGCGUGAAAUUUUUCGGCUUAACCGGGAAAGGUCGUCGGAUACUGCGGAGCUAGAGGACGGUAGAGGCGUGUGGAAUUCCCGGUGUAGCGGUGAAAUGCGCAGAUAUCGGGAGGAACACCAGUAGCGAAGGCGACACGCUGGGCCGGUACUGACGCUGAGGAGCGAAAGCGUGGGGAGCAAACAGG
rnacentral:rRNA from 1 species